rnacentral:tRNA from 1 species
GCGGUUUUGGUCUAGUGGUAUGAUACAACCUUCCCAAGGUUGGGAUGCGGGUUCGAUUCCCGCAAGCCGCA